CUAAGCGGGAAGCUCCCCUCGAGAUGAGUUCUCCCUGAAGGACCCAGGAAGACUACCUGGUUGAUAGGCAGGAUGUGUAAGCACAGCAAUGUGUUCAGCUAACUGGUACUAAUUGGUCGCGAGGCUUGAUCUUUAA
rnacentral:rRNA from 1 species